UUUUAAUAAAAAUAUUUAUUAUAUUAACUUUUAAAAUAAUUUCUAUCUUUACUGUAAAGUAAUAAUAAAUUAUUAAAAAGAAAUUUUAUCUUCCUUUAGUAUCAGGAAUACUCAAUUAAAAUUUAAUAUUAAUUUUUCCUGAAAAAAGGUCAUCUACAAAUUUAUCUAAAUAUUAUAUCAAAAAUACUAUAAAUAAAAUUGUUGAAGUUAAACUCUAUCCGAACCUUUUGAUAUCCGGUAUCUUUAAAUUUUUAAUAAAAAUUUAUAUUUAAAAAGAUAAUUUUUUAAAUUAAUUUUUUUUAUUUUUAUAUUUCAAUUAAGAAUAAAAGUUUCUAAAAAGUUUUAUAACCAAAAAUCACAUUUUUAUAAAUCAUUUAAUAAAGAUUUCUUUUAUUAAUUAAAAUAAUGAAAAUAUUAGUAGAAUCUUCUUAAUUAUUAGUUUAAAAACUAGGCAAAAAAUUGAAUGACUGUUUACCAAAAACAUUUCUUACUGAAAUAAUUGUAAGUAACACCUGCUCAAUGAAUAUUUAAAUAGCCGCGGAAAUUUAACCGUGCUAAGGUAGCAUAAUCAUUAGCCUCUUAAUUAGAGGCUAGCAUGAACGGUGAAACAUUUCAAUUACUUUUUUAAUUAAUUUCUUUAAAUUUUAACUAAGAAUAAAAAUGUUCUUAUAAAUAAAAUAGACGAUAAGACCCUUUUGAACUUUACUUUAGUUUAGCUGGGGCAGCUAAAUAAAAAUAAUCUUAUUUUUAAUUUUUACUUAAACGACCCAAUAUAAUUGAUUAAUUGACCAAGUUACCAUAGGGAUAACAGCGUAAUAUCUUUUAAAAGCUCUUAUUAAAAAAGAAGAUUGCGACCUCGAUGUUGAAUUAAUGUAACUUUACUAAUGCAAUAAUUUUAAAAGUAGGUCUGUUCGACCUUUAAAACAUUACAUGAUUUGAGUUCAAAUCGGUGUAAACCAGAUUGGUUUCUAUCUUUUAUAAUUUUUAUUCAGUACGAAAGGACCAAUAAAUUUAUUUUUAAUAUUCUUAUGGCAGAUUAAUGCAUUAGAUUUAGAAUCUAUCAAUUCUAAUUAUUUCCCCUUUUAUGAAUUCUUUAAUUGCAAUUAUCUGUAUUCUUGUAGCAGUAGCCUUUUAUACAAUUUUAGAACGAAAAAUUCUAGGUUAUAUCCAAAUCCGAAAAGGACCAAAUAAGGUAGGAUUCAUUGGAAUCUUACAACCCUUUGCUGAUGCAAUUAAACUCUUUAAUAAAUCCCUUUCAUCUACUGAUGCAUCUAAUUUUUCUAUUUCUUUUUUAACUCCUAGAGUUAGAUUAUUUCUUGCUCUAAUCCUUGUCCCUUUAAUUCCUUUUAAUAAUUUUCAAAUUUUAGACAAUAAACAUAAUAUUUUAACUUUUUUUAUUAUUUCUAGCUUAAGUGUUUACUCAAUACUAAUAAUUGGAUGAUCAUCUAACUCCAAAUAUAGACAUAUUGGUGCUAUCCGAAGAGUUGCCCAAAUAAUUUCUUACGAAGUUUCAUUUUUUUUAAUUAUCCUAUUUAUCUCUAUUUUAAGAAACUCUUUCAAUUUUAAACAAAUUAUAGAUGCCCAAAACCUCCUAUGGUUUUUUUUUGGAAAUAUUUUACUAUUUUAUAUAUGAUUUACAAGAUGUUUAGCAGAAGUAAAUCGAAGACCUUUUGAUUUUGCUGAAGGAGAAUCAGAACUAGUGUCAGGUUUUAAUGUUGAAUAUAUAGGAGGAUGAUUCGCCCUAAUCUUUUUAGCAGAAUAUUCGAAUAUAAUUAUCUUAGCUAUUAUUUCUACUAUUCUAUUUUUUUCCUCAAUCAAAUCAUUUUUUAUUAUCAUAUUACUUUUAACUAUCUUAAUAUUAUGAGUACGAGGCUCGUAUCCUCGAUUUCGAUAUGACCUAUUAAUAAUCCUAAACUGAAAAAUUUUUCUUCCCCUAAUUUUACUUUUUAUCCCUAUUGCCUUAACUUCAUCUUCAUG
rnacentral:rRNA from 1 species